UACGUAGGGGGCGAGCGUUGUCCGGAUUUAUUGGGCGUAAAGAGCGUGUAGGCGGCCAGGUAGGUCUGCUGUGAAAACUCGAGGCUCAACCUCGAGACGUCGGCGGAAACCAUCUGGCUAGAGUACGUAAGAGGGUCGCGGAAUUCCCGGUGUAGAGGUGAAAUUCGUAGAUAUCGGGAGGAACACCGGUGGCGAAGGCGGCGACCUGGGACGAUACUGACGCUGAGGUGCGAAAGCGUGGGGAGCAAACAGG
rnacentral:rRNA from 1 species